ACCACAGAGUCGCAUGACAGAGGGGUCAAAGGAGAAAUCCGGUGAAGGGUGGGCUCGCGUCCGAUUAGAUAGUUGGUGAGGUAACGGCCCACCAAGUCAACGAUCGGUAGCCGACCUGAGAGGGUGAUCGGCCACAUUGGGACUGAGACACGGCCCAGACUCCUACGGGAGGCAGCAGUGGGGAAUAUUGGGCAAUGGGGGGAACCCUGACCCAGCAACGCCGCGUGGAGGAAGAAGGUCUUCGGAUCGUAAACUCCUGUCCUAAGAGACGAGCAGGAGACGGUAACUUAGGAGGAAGCCCCGGCUAACUACGUGCCAGCAGCCGCGGUAAUACGUAGGGGGCAAGCGUUGUCCGGAAUGAUUGGGCGUAAAGGGCGCGUAGGCGGCCGCAGAAGUCUGAAGUGAAAUACCCGCUUUCAAGGUGGGUACUGCUUUGGAAACUGAGUGGCUUGAGUGCAGGAGAGGUCAGUGGAAUUCCCAGUGUAGCGGUGAAAUGCGUAGAGAUUGGGAGGAACACCAGUGGCGAAGGCGACUGACUGGACUGUAACUGACGCUGAGGCGCGAAAGUGUGGGGAGCAAA
rnacentral:rRNA from 1 species